rnacentral:rRNA from 1 species
UACGUAGGGGGCUAGCGUUGUCCGGAAUCAUUGGGCGUAAAGAGCGUGUAGGCGGUCCGGUAAGUCCGCUGUGAAAGUCGGGGGCUCAACCCUCGAAUGCCGGUGGAUACUGUCGGGCUAGAGUGCGGAAGAGGCGAGUGGAAUUCCUGGUGUAGCGGUGAAAUGCGCAGAUAUCAGGAGGAACACCUAUUGCGAAGGCAGCUCGCUGGGACGUUACCGACGCUGAGACGCGAAAGCGUGGGGAGCAAACAGG